GAGGAGCGCCUGAGCCGCGGCGACGAGGCCGUCAGCCUGGAGCAGUUCUGCGAGGUGCUGGAGAGCGUCUCCCGCCUGACGGCCGGGUCCCGCGGGGAGAGCGAGGAGGU
ensembl:miRNA gga-mir-6592 gga-mir-6592